rnacentral:snRNA from 1 species
GGAAGGGUGAUCUGACUGGAUGGCUGUCACCCCAUUGAUCACCUGGGUUGACUCAGCUGAUCUGGCUGGCUAAGCAGGUGUUCCCUCCCUCCCUCCAUGUGUGUCCCUCCCAAAGCUGCAUGCUCAGUGGAAGAGGAUGACCAUCCCCGCUAGAGGAGGGCUGUUCCUCAGUCAAGAAUAUAGGAGUAGCUGUGCUCCACUGCUAGAACCUCCACACAGGCUCUCAAGAAGGAAGCAGGCAAGCCUUAUGGAUGAAACCCUUCCAGGGGUUUACCU